rnacentral:rRNA from 1 species
UACGAAGGGGGCUAGCGUUGUUCGGAAUCACUGGGCGUAAAGGGUGCGUAGGCGGGUCUUUAAGUCAGGGGUGAAAUCCUGGAGCUCAACUCCAGAACUGCCUUUGAUACUGAAGAUCUUGAGUCCGGGAGGGGUGAGUGGAACUGCGAGUGUAGAGGUGAAAUUCGUAGAUAUUCGCAAGAACACCAGUGGCGAAGGCGGCUCACUGGCCCGGUACUGACGCUGAGGCACGAAAGCGUGGGGAGCAAACAGG